CCCAGACUCCUACGGGAGGCAGCAGUGGGGAAUAUUGCACAAUGGGGGAAACCCUGAUGCAGCAACGCCGCGUGAGUGAAAAAGCGUUUCGGCGCGUAAAGCUCUGUCAGCGGGGAAGAAAGAAGACGGUACCCGACCAAGAAGCCCCGGCUAACUACGUGCCAGCAGCCGCGGUAAUACGUAGGGGGCAAGCGUUAUCCGGAUUUACUGGGUGUAAAGGGAGCGUAGACGGUUAUGCAAGUCUGAAGUGAAAGCCCAAGGCUCAACCAUGGGACUGCUUUGGAAACUGUAAAACUGGAGUGCAGGAGAGGUAAGCGGAAUUCCUAGUGUAGCGGUGAAAUGCGUAGAUAUUAGGAGGAACACCGGUGGCGAAGGCGGCUUACUAGACUGUAACUGACGUUGAGGCUCGAAAGCGUGGGGAGCAAACAGGAUUAGAUACCCCCGUA
rnacentral:rRNA from 1 species